AUCCAGCCGAAGAGUUCAGAAUAGGACGAAACGUGAGUCCUGGAU
rnacentral:hammerhead_ribozyme from 1 species